GCCAGCAUGGUGGAAUGGUAGACACGGAGGACUUAAAAUCCUCUAGUCAUUGAGACUGUGUGGGUUCGAGUCCCACUGCUGGUA
rnacentral:tRNA from 1 species